UACAGAGGGGGCCAGCGUUAUUCGGAAUUAUUGGGCGUAAAGGGCGCGUAGGCGGCCAUGCGUGUCUUCCGUGAAAUCCCUCGGCUUAACCGAGGACGUGCGGAAGAAACUGCAAGGCUCGAGUCCGGAAGAGGGGGGCGGAAUUCCCAGUGUAGCGGUGAAAUGCGUAGAUAUUGGGAGGAACACCGGUGGCGAAGGCGGCAUCCUGGACCGACACUGACGCUGAGGAGCGAAAGCCAGGGGAGCAAAGCGGG
rnacentral:rRNA from 1 species